AGCAGUAUGGUGUAAUGCUGCACACGGGGUUCCCUUGGGCAUUGCGAGGACGCAGUAUAAUCCCGAGGUCCUUGUUCGAAUCAGGGUACUGUUC